GACGAACGCUGGCGGCGUGCCUAAUACAUGCAAGUAGAACGCACAGUUUAUACCGUAGCUUGCUACACCAUAGACUGUGAGUUGCGAACGGGUGAGUAACGCGUAGGUAACCUGCCUGGUAGCGGGGGAUAACUAUUGGAAACGAUAGCUAAUACCGCAUAAUAUUAAUUAUUGCAUGAUAAUUAAUUGAAAGGUGCAAUUGCACCACUACCAGAUGGACCUGCGUUGUAUUAGCUAGUAGGUGAGGUAACGGCUCACCUAGGCGACGAUACAUAGCCGACCUGCGAGGGUGGUCGGCCACCCUGGGACUGGGACACGGCCCAGACUCCUACGGGAGGCAGCAGUAGGGAAUCUUCGGCAAUGGACGAAAGUCUGACCGAGCAACGCCGCGUGAGUGAAGAAGGUUUUCGGAUCGUAAAGCUCUGUUGUAAGAGAAGAACGGGUGUGAGAGUGGAAAGUUCACACUGUGACGGUAUCUUACCAGAAAGGGACGGCUAACUACGUG
rnacentral:rRNA from 1 species